UGGGGAAUAUUGGACAAUGGGCGAAAGCCUGAUCCAGCCAUGCCGCGUGAGUGAUGAAGGCCCUAGGGUUGUAAAGCUCUUUCACCGGUGAAGAUAAUGACGGUAACCGGAGAAGAAGCCCCGGCUAACUUCGUGCCAGCAGCCGCGGUAAUACGAAGGGGGCUAGCGUUGUUCGGAAUUACUGGGCGUAAAGCGCACGUAGGCGGACUAUUAAGUCAGGGGUGAAAUCCUGGAGCUCAACUCCAGAACUGCCUUUGAUACUGAUGGUCUCGAGUCCGGAAGAGGUGAGUGGAAUUCCGAGUGUAGAGGUGAAAUUCGUAGAUAUUCGGAGGAACACCAGUGGCGAAGGCGGCUCACUGGUCCGGUACUGACGCUGAGGUGCGAAAGCGUGGGGAGCAAA
rnacentral:rRNA from 1 species